CCGCCGGCGACCGGCGCACGGGUGAGUAACACGUAUGCAACCUGGCCGUGACAGAUGGAUAACCGGGAGAAAUCCCGCCUAAUACAACAUAAUGCCGGGAGGGGACAUCCCCUGCCGGCCAAAGGGGGCGACCCCGGUCACGGAUGGGCAUGCGGCGCAUUAGGUAGUUGGUGGGGCAACGGCCCACCAAGCCGACGAUGCGUAGGGGUUCUGAGAGGAAGGUCCCCCACAUUGGGACUGAGACACGGUCCAAACUCCUACGGGAGGCAGCAG
rnacentral:rRNA from 1 species